rnacentral:misc_RNA from 1 species
GAUGAAGAACGUAGCGAAAUGCGAUAAGUAAUGUGAAUUGCAGAAUUCAGUGAAUCAUCGAAUCUUUGAACGCACAUUGCGCCCGACAGUAUUCUGGCGGGCAUGCCUGUUCGAGCGUCAUUACAACCCUCAGGCCCCCGGGCCUGGCGUUGGGGAUCGGCGGAAGCCCCCUGCGGGCACAACGCCGUCCCCCAAAUACAGUGGCGGUCCCGCCGCAGCUUCCAUUGCGUAGUAGCUAACACCUCGCAACUGGAGAGCGGCGCGGCCACGCCGUAAAACACCCAACUUCUGAAUGUUGACCUCGAAUCAGGUAGGAAUACCCGCUGAACUUAAGCAUAUCAAUAAGCGGAGGA